rnacentral:rRNA from 1 species
AUUGAACGCUGGCGGCAGGCCUAACACAUGCAAGUCGAGCGGAUGAAGGGUGCUUGCUCCUGGAUUCAGCGGCGGACGGGGGUGUAAUGCCUAGGAAUCUGCCUGGUAGUGGGGGAUAACGUCCGGAAACGGGCGCUAAUACCGCCUACGUCCUGCGGGAGAAGGAGGGGGAUCUUCGGACCUCACGCUAUCAGAUGAGCCUAGGCCGGAUUAGCUAGUUGGUGGGGUAAAGGCCUACUAAGGCGACGAUCCGUAACUGGUCUGAGAGGAUGAUCAGUCACCUGGGAGCUGAGACAGGGUCAUGAGUACUGCGGGAGGCCGCAGAGUGGAAUGUUGGACAAUGGUCGAAAGCCUGAUCCAGCCAUGCGGCGUGUGUGAAGAAGGUCUUCGGAGUGGAAAGCACUUUAAGUUGGGAGGAAGGGCAGUAAGUUAAUACCUUGCUGUUUUGACGUUACCAACAGAAUAAGCACCGGCUAACUUCGUG